rnacentral:rRNA from 1 species
CCUACGGGAGGCAGCAGUGAGGAAUAUUGGUCAAUGGUCGGGAGACUGAACCAGCCAAGCCGCGUGAGGGAUGAAGGUACAGAGUAUCGUAAACCUCUUUUGUCAGGGAACAAAGGCGGGGACGUGUCCCCGGAUGAGUGUACCUGAAGCAAAAGCAUCGGCUAACUCCGUGCCAGCAGCCGCGGUAAUACGGAGGAUGCGAGCGUUAUCCGGAUUUAUGGGGUUUAAGGGGUGCGCAGACGGUCUGUUCAUUCAGCGGUCAAAGCCCGGGGCUAAACCCGGGCCCGCCGUUGAAACUGGCAGUCUCGAGUUGGAGAGAGGUAUGCGGAAUGCGCGGUGUAGCGGUGAAAUGCACAGAUAUCGCGCAGAACUCCGAUUGCGAAGGCAGCAUGCCGGCUCCACACUGACGCUGAGGCACGAAAGCGUGGGUAUCGAACAGGAUUAGAUACCCCUGUAGUC